rnacentral:rRNA from 1 species
UACGGAAGGCAGCAGUGGGGAAUAUUGCACAAUGGGCGCAAGCCUGAUGCAGCCAUGCCGCGUGUAUGAAGAAGGCCUUCGGGUUGUAAAGUACUUUCAGUCGUGAGGAAGGUGUUAAGGUUAAUAACCUUAGCAAUUGACGUUAGCGACAGAAGAAGCACCGGCUAACUCCGUGCCAGCAGCCGCGGUAAUACGGAGGGUGCGAGCGUUAAUCGGAAUUACUGGGCGUAAAGGGCACGCAGGCGGUUAAUUAAGUUGGAUGUGAAAUCCCCGGGCUUAACCUGGGAAUGGCAUUCAAGACUGGUUAGCUAGAGUCUUGUAGAGGGGGUAGAAUUCCAUGUGUAGCGGUGAAAUGCGUAGAGAUGUGGAGGAAUACCGGUGGCGAAGGCGGCCCCUGGACAAAGGCUGACGCUCAUGUGCGAAAGCGUGGGGAGCAAACAGGGAUUUUAGAUACC